rfam:Streptomyces glaucescens strain GLA.O, complete genome.
CGGGCCGUGUACUCCCAGAUGCCGUCCCCGCCGAGCAGGGCCUGGUCGCCCAGGUAGGAGCCGUCGGCCUGGACGCCCAGGCUCUCGUCCUCGCCGUAGGGGCCCGUACCGACCUUCUCCACGCGGCCGUGCGCGAGGAGGUAGACCGCGUCGGUGGGGCUGCCGAAGGAGGCGAUCACCUCGCCCGCGGCGAACUCCCGCUGCUCGCAGCGCCGGGCCAGCUCGGUCAGCACCUCCUCGUCCUCGUACGACCGCAGCGCGGGCAGUUCGCCGAGCUCCGCGGGGAUGACCUCGACGCGGUCACCGGUCUUCACGAAGGUGAUGCGUCCGUCGCCCACCGCGAAGGUCAGCCGUCGGUUCACCCGGUACGUACCGCCUUGCACGUCCACCCAGGGCAGGUUGCGCAGCAGCCAGCGGGAGCUGAUCUCCUGCAUCUGCGGAACGGACUUGGUGGUGGUGGCCAGGUUCCGCGCGGCAGCCGUGCCGAGGCUCUGCUGCGGCCUGUUCUG